rnacentral:sRNA from 1 species
AUUCCAGACCAAAAUUGAAAAAAUGGUUGACCUCACCCAGGUAAUGGACGAUGAAGUAUUCAUGGCUUUUGCAUCCUAUGCAACAAUUAUUCUUUCAAAAAUGAUGCUUAUGAGUACCGCAACUGCAUUUUAUAGAUUGAGAAGAAAGGUUUUUGCCAAUCCAGAAGACUGUGUAACAUUUGGCAAAGGAGAAAAUGCCAAGAAGUAUCUUCGAACAGAUGACAGAGUAGAACGUGUACGCAGGGCACAGGAGAUCUUAGGCCCAGAGAGGCAGAUUCAGAAGAUCCUACAUAUAAAUGAGACUGGAGUGGAAAUGAGAAUGGCGGGAAAUGCAUGGAAACAGACUUGUAACUGUCCCAUGGCCUGGCUGUCCGAAUCCCAGAGGAUGGAGUGCAAUGGCAUGAUCUCAGCUCACCGCCACCUCUGCCUCCCGGAUUCAAGUGACUCUCCUGCCUCAGCCUCUUGAGUAGCUGGGAUUACAGGUUGCUGCAGAAAUCAAGAGCUAACCAAGAAGACAAAGCAUGUAACAUAUUUA